rnacentral:misc_RNA from 1 species
UCAAAAUAAAUGUGCAGCUGGCAUGAAUGCUUCAGAAAAAAGUGAUAAUGGAAGAACCGACAUCUAAAUGUAUUGGGAAGUUUCUACUUGAUGGAAAUUUGCAGCAUCCUGUGGUCUUAAAGGGCUGUGCUAAGGAUUGGCCUUGUGCAAAAUGGACGUUGCAUACGCUGUCAAAUAGUUUACAAGGACAGCUGAUUAAAAUUAGAUUAGGAUAUAAAAACAAAGUACAGUGGGAGGGGGAAUGCAAGUAUGAGAUGGCAACCCUAAAAGAUUUGAUGGAAUGGUGCACGGCAGGAGCAAGCGCAACGACAGAAACCCCAACAAAUAGAAUAUCAGAAGAACGUAAUCCAUUGAUGAAAUACGAUUCUGAAGUUUAUUGGUGUUAUGCUGAUUAUAAAUACAUGCUGGAACUUUUCUCAGAACAUCCAGAACUAUUGAAGGAGGUUCGCUGGUCAGAUCUUGGAUUUGAGGGUCAUGAUGGAACACAAAGCACUAUCUGGAUUGGAAGUGAGGGUGCUAACACACCCUGUCAUUAUGAUACAUAUGGCUGCAACUUGGUCCUACAAGUAGUUGGAAAGAAGAACUGGCAACUGUUCCCACCACAUCAAACAGAGUGUCUUUAUCCAACAAGGAUUCCAUUUGAAGAGUCAAGUGUCUUCAGCGAUGUUAACAUUGUGUACCCUGAUUUCGGGAAAUGCCCUUUAUUCAAAGCGGCAACGCCAUACAAUGUGACUCUUCAACCUGGAGACAUACUGUUUGUACCGCAUCAUUGGUGGCAUUACGUUGAAUCUUUAGAGACAAGUAUAAGUAUUAACUGUUGGAUGGACUUGGCUAUCGAUGAUGAAUGUCGUUUAGAAGAAGCAAUUACACGGACUGUCUUCUGUCAGUUCUUUGACAGUAGAGACAGCAAUGAUAAAGGGGAUGGCACUGAUGGUAUAGGCUGGCUCAACCCAACUGAAAGUAUUACUUCAACUAAUGUAAACAUGGAGUACAUAAAUAAAGCACUAAAAGUUGUUAAACACACUUCAUUCGGAAAGACAUCCAGUGAUUGUCGUUGUGCAGGAACACCAGAUGAUCUUUCCUCUAAAAAUAGAACUUCUGACAAUCCAGCAGAAUCUCAGGCAGAGGUCACUGGCAAAAGGAAGAUGGUUGAUGAUAAUUUAAGGGUGAAAAAAAAUAAACCAAAUAACACCAAAGAUGAACUUUGUAUGGAUUUUUUCAAAAGGAUUGGAUUGGAAAUAGAGAUUCUACCAUGCCAAGAAAAGAUGUCUAAGGAUGUAAAAGAGAUGAGCCUUGACAUCGAUAGCAGAAAUCAGGAUGAGGAUGUCAAUAUGAGAACUCUUUUACAAUGUUUAACACAUCCGAGAAUUGUUAGUGAAAUUGCAAACCUUUUAAAAGAUAAAGUUUAGCAACAGAGUCCUGGAUGACAUGUUCAUGAAUCCAUUUAAAAACAAAAUAUUCUUCAAAAUUAUAACAAACUAGCAGUCAUCAUUUAUUCUUCAACAAUAUACUCUGUUUGGAUACAAAUAAGGCAGCAAUAUUUACUAAUUUUAGAAAGUAAAGCAGGCAUGUUUUUUUGUUCUAGAGGUUGCCUAAAAAAAUUCAAGACGAUAAAUAACUGAUUGAUAGUAAUUUAUAUAAUGUAUGUAGUCUAAAAAAUGUACAGGUAUUUGUUUUCUGUAAUUAAGAAAAAAAAAAUUCUUUUUUUAAAUGCUAUACAUACUCUAUCAUUAAAAUGUUUGACCAAUACAGCAACUUUCGGUCAUGUUUUCCUGUU